rnacentral:lncRNA from 1 species
CAUGAAUCGACUUUUCUUCUAGUUUUCAUUUCAUUCCCUCUCUCAAGUCUCAAUGAAAGCUAAAAUAUGCAAAAUCAAACAAAAGAAAUUUCAAAUAUAAUAAUUUGCUCCUCAAAUCAUAAAUGAAUAGUGAUAUUCAACAUUGAGAAGAAGAAAUCCCAAAUCAUAAGUGCUCUUCAAAAUUCUCUGCGUUGCUUUCCUUUUAAUUUGAGGUAAAUUAUAUUGUUCUUCUUCAAUUUCAAGAAGCUAAUAUGGGAUUCCAAUAUUUAUUUUUUGAAAUUGUAGGCAAGUUUAUGUUUCUAGGGUUUAAGUAUCUGUUGCGUUUUGAAUUUUAUUUUCCCAGCCUUGAUGAAUUGGAUUCUAGGUGGUGUAUAUGCUUUCUAUGUUAGAGAAAUUAGGAUUUUUUUUUUAAUGAAACUAAGGCUUUAAUGAAGUGGAUGAGGUUUGAGUUGAUAAAGAAGAUAAAGUCAUACAAUGAAGUGGAUGUGGUGAUGGAAAACAAAUGUGUGUGCCCACUUCAUCAUUUGGUUGCUUGAUCUUACUAGAUUUAUUUGACAUUUGUCCUUAAAAAAACUCAGGAACUUGUACGUAGUUGAGUUUGGUAUGAAAUUUGAUAUUAACACUUAGAACUUUUUGGUGUAUUUGUAUGUUGUGAAUUGUGAGUUGUGAGUGUAUAGUGUAAUUUGAUUUCAAGUUAUUAUAAUGUAUGUUGAAUGCCGAGUUGCCACCUAAAACUGAGGAGGAGGAAAAUGGUGCAACGCCUAAGAACUUUUUGGUGUAUUUGUAUGAUUUGGAAAGAGCAGUGAUGGGUUGUCAUAAUUUGUAUUGAUUUUAGGCUUAUAUCUGUUAGUUUAUCAAAUACGGUCUUCUUUUGGUGCAUUUUAAGUUUAGGUGGCAAACACUCAUUGCUUGUCUAUGCAUGAAUUACAUGAGGAAGGAAGCCUAAUUAGUGCUAUAUAAUUGGUUGAUAUGAUGCCCUAUUAGCCUGUUUGUAUUCCCGUGAUUGGAAUUCUGGAGUCAUUUUAAAGCUUUCCUAAGUCUGAACCGAGGCAAAGAAACAGAAAAUACAAACCCUCUAUUUUAGGCCAUCAGCCAUCUACAGUUCUUGGACCUGAAACAAUAUGAGCAUUGGAAUCUAUUAUCAAAGGCAUGUCUGGGAAAAAUUGUCACUAUCAAAUUCUAGAUUAUAAUGAAACAGACGCAUUAAUAUGCAAUAUGUCUAGUCUUGAUAGAGUUCUCUUUUGUUUGAGUCGCCAAUUCACAUAUUUGUCUUUGAACUCCGCCAUAGGCGCUACAAGCUAAGUCAUCAGUGGGGGACUUGUAGAGUUUAUAGGUUGAGGUAGUCGAAUGUAUAACAUCCAAACACUUCAUAUAUUAUGCAAUUGGUGAAAAAU